rnacentral:rRNA from 1 species
AGUCCGGUAAUUGGAAUGAGUACACUUUAAAUCCUUUAACGAGGAUCUAGUGGAGGGCAAGUCUGGUGCCAGCAGCCGCGGUAAUUCCAGCUCCACGAGCAUGUACGUAAGUUGUUGCAGUUAAAAAGCUCGUAGUUGGAUCUCAGGCUUGUGGCCGGUGGUCCGCUCGAUACGGGUGUGCACUGCCGUGCCCGGUCUACGUCUGGUUAACGUUCGUAGUGCUCUUAACCGGGUGCUACGAAAUGCCAGAAGUUUUACUCUGAAAAAAUUAGAGUGCUUAAAGCAGGCCGUUUGUGCUUGUAUACUGUUGCAUGGAAUAAUGGAAUAGGACCUCGGAUCUAUUUUGUUGGUUUUCGGAGUCGAGGUAAUGAUUAAGAGGGACAGACGGGGGCAUUCGUAUUGCGCCGUUAGAGGUGAAAUUCUUGGAUCGGCGCAAGACGAACAACUGCGAAAGCAUUUGCCAAGGAUGUUUUCAUUAAUCAAGAACGAAAGUCAGAGGUUCGAAGACGAUCAGAUACCGUCGUAGUUCUGACCAUAAACGAUGCCAACUGGCGAUCCGCCGUAGUCUGGCUUAAAGGACUCGGCGGGCAGCCUCCGGGAAACCUAAGUCUAUGGGUUCCGGGGGAAGUAUGGUUGCAAAGCUGAAACUUAAAGGAAUUGACGGAAGGGCACCACCAGGAGUGGAGCCUGCGGCUUAAUUUGACCCAACACGGGAAAACUCACCCGGCCAGGACACCGUAAGGAUUGACAGACUGAGAGCUCUUUCUUGAUUCGGUGGGUGGUGGUGCAUGGCCGUUCUUAGUUGGUGGAGCGAUUUGUCUGGUUAAUUCCGAUAACGAACGAGACUCUAGCCUGCUAAAUAGACGGGCAAUCGCUUUAGCGGUUGACCCGAUUUGCUUCUUAGAGGGACAAGUGGUGUUCCUAGCCACGCGAAAUUGAGCAAUAACAGGUCUGUGAUGCCCUUAGAUGUCCGGGGCCGCACGCGCGCUACAAUGAGGGACGCAGUGUGCCCGCAAAGCCUGACCCGAAAGGGUUGGGUAAUCAUUUUAAUUUCUCUCGUAAUAGGGAUUGAGCAUUGUAACUAUUGCUCAUGAACGAGGAAUUCCUAGUAAGCGCGAGUCAUAAGCUUGCGUUGACUACGUCCCUGCCCUUUGUACACACCGCCCGUCGCUACUACCGAUUGAAUGGUUUAGCGAGAUCCUCGGAUUGGGCCUUACUUGUUCGAAAGGAUGGGUGAGGUCUGAGAGGAAGCUCAAGCUUGAUCAUUUAGA